AUUGAACGCUGGCGGCAGGCCUAACACAUGCAAGUCGAGCGAGCGGCGGACGGGUGAGUAAUGUAUGGGGACUGCCCGAUAGAGGGGGAUAACUACUGGAAACGGUAGCUAAUACCGCAUAAAAUCUGAUAACCCAGAUGGGAUUAGCUAGUAGGGGAGGUAAUGGCUCACCUAGGCGACGAUCCCUAGCUGGUCUGAGAGGAUGAUCAGCCACACUGGAACUGAGACACGGCCCAGACUCCGACGGAGGCAGCAGUGGGGAAUAUUGCACAAUGGGCGAAAGCCGGAUGCAGCCAUGCCGCGUGUAUGAAGAAGGCCCUAGGGUUGUAAAGUACUUUCAGUCGGGAGGCGUUACCGACAGAAGAAGCACCGGCUAACUCCGUGCCAGCAGCCGCGGUAAUUC
rnacentral:rRNA from 1 species